rnacentral:misc_RNA from 1 species
UUUCCGUAGGUGAACCUGCGGAAGGAUCAUUGAGAUGUUAUAUAAACACUUAGCUAGUGAGUAAUGUUGUUUGACAUGUAGCGCUUAACUCUAUUAUACACUUAACUUUUAUUCAUACGAUCUGACAUUCGUUAAUAUGUCAAGAAAACCAAUGUACAACUCACAACAAUGGACAUCUUGGUUCUCGCAUCGAUGAAGAACGCAGC